UAACACUCUUGAAAGUGUUAAAGAAUGCAUGAGUAUGAAGGUUUUCAUCAGACCAAGGUAUGUAAGCAUGAAAGAGGACUGGUGUUGAUGCUGGAUAUAAGCGAGUCACUAUUGUUCAUUACAACUCACCAGAUCUAUACCUAUAAUCUCUCAGCUACAUAUUUCUGGAACAUUGUCGAACUAUUUUCAAGUUUGAAUAGACUAUUCCUGACACUACAAGUGUAAGUAGUUUUUAAAUUCGACUUUCUUCGUUUAAGGAAGCACGUUGGUUUCAUAAAAAAAAUAAGAGUGGGCUGGUCUGCUUUGAUAA